GGGGUAACGGCUCACCUAGGCGACGAUCCCUAGCUGGUCUGAGAGGAUGACCAGCCACACUGGAACUGAGACACGGUCCACACUCCUACGGGAGGCAGCAGUGGGGAAUAUUGCACAAUGGGCGCAAGCCUGAUGCAGCCAUGCCGCGUGUAUGAAGAAGGCCUUCGGGUUGUAAAGUACUUUCAGCGGGGAGGAAGGUGUUGAGGUUAAUAACCUUAUUUUAUUGACGUUACCCGCAAAAGAAGCACCGGCUAACUCCGUGCCAGCAGCCGCGGUAAUACGGAGGGUGCAAGCGUUAAUCGGAAUUACUGGGCGUAAAGCGCACGCAGGCGGUCUGUCAAGUCGGAUGUGAAAUCCCCGGGCUCAACCUGGGAACUGCAUUCGAAACUGGCAGGCUGGAGUCUUGUAGAGGGGGGUAGAAUUCCAGGUGUAGCGGUGAAAUGCGUAGAGAUCUGGAGGAAUACCGGUGGCGAAGGCGGCCCCCUGGACAAAGACUGACGCUCAGGUGCGAAAGCGUGGGGAGCAAACAGGAUU
rnacentral:rRNA from 1 species